CUCCCCGAAAGGUGGCCGCUCCUCCCCAUAAGGUGGUCUCUCCCCCCUGAAAGGUGGUCUCUCACCCCCGAAAGGUGGCCUAUCUUCCCCGUAAGGUGGUCUCUCGCCUCUGAAAGGUGGCCUAUCUUCCCCGUAAGGUGGUCUCUCCUCCCUGUAAGGUGGUCUCUCUUCCCCAUAAGGUGGUCUCUCCUCCCUGUAAGGUGGUCUCUCUUCCCCGUAAGGUGGCCUCUCCUCCCCAAAAGGUGGUCUCUCCUCCCCAAAAGGUGGUCUUUCUUCCCCAUAAG
rnacentral:lncRNA from 1 species